UACGGAGGGGGCUAGCGUUGUUCGGAAUUACUGGGCGUAAAGCGCACGUAGGCGGCGAUUCAAGUCAGAGGUGAAAGCCCGGGGCUCAACUCCGGAACUGCCUUUGAAACUAGAUUGCUAGAAUCUUGGAGAGGCGAGUGGAAUUCCGAGUGUAGAGGUGAAAUUCGUAGAUAUUCGGAAGAACACCAGUGGCGAAGGCGACUCGCUGGACAAGUAUUGACGCUGAGGUGCGAAAGCGUGGGGAGCAAACAGG
rnacentral:rRNA from 1 species